UAGGAAGGGUACCUCAAAAUGAUGAUGG
rnacentral:piRNA from 1 species